AACAUUGCUCUAGACAAUCCCGAAGAAUACCAUGGUCAGUGAGUGGUAUUGAGUCUGCUGAGAAGUCCAGGAGAACUAAAAAAUAAUGUACAUUCAUAUUGCCCAAUUCCCGGCAUAACUUAUCUACCAGGACUUCUUAGGGCUCUGGCCAUGUGCGAGUGCUAAUUAGUUGGAAUAAUGGGCACACACAUCCCUUAAAUGCCUUGGGGAAGAGAAUGCAGGUUCUCCCAUAUGUCAGCAUAAGUCAGAUCUCGUUACGUAAUAACUAAUAAGCACAACAGUCGCGUAUUUAUCCGGAAACGAUUGCUUUCUAAAGCUUCAGCAUGGACUGAGCUAGAAAUACGAACGUUUUUAUUUUGGUAUGGGUGAAAAACAGUUUUAUAUGUUUAUUGUAUUGCUUUGAGGUUGUGUGGGAUGAAAUCCUGGCCCUAUUGAAAUCCGUGGGAGUUUUUGGCAAGCACCUCUCAGUGCGAGCAGCAUGUAACAGUUUUACACGUAGAAGUCUGUCUCUCUUUAAACUAGGAGCAGAUUUUAUUCCCUUGGAUUUGCCCCUUUUGGAUCUGCCUCAUCCCAAGGGGUCAACCAAAAAGCUAACACGUACCUAAUAGCAUCUUAAAUUCCAGUUUUAAAGAAACCCAACAACUCUGGAGGUUCUUUGAACUGUUUUUCAGCCAAUAAGACUAUCAGAGGUAUAAAUGAAAAGAGUAUGCACAGUUAACAUCAUACGUUAAUUCUGGGCUUUUUGUACAGCGAGUUUCUCCCAUGCAUUGUGAAUUUUCUCGAAUAAUAAGUAUUUUGUGUGUGGAAUAUCAUUCUUGUGUCAUAGCCAACAGGGUGUGAACGCUUAUAUCAGGCAUAGGCAAAGUCAGCCUUCCAGAUGUUUUGGGACUACAACUCCCAUCAUCCCUAGCUAACAGGACCAGUGGUCAGGGAUGAUGGAAAUUGUAGUCUCAACCCAUCUGGAGGGCUGACUUUGCCUAUGCCUGGCUUAUAUGAGCAUCUCGUAUUUUGAUUUUUGAGAUCUAGAACCCAUAUUGUAGGAGUGGGGGGUGUUUUUCAGCCUGAGGGUGGUAUUCCUGCAUCAGUAACCUUCCAUGGACCACAUGUCCAUCAGCGAUGGGCAGGGCCAGAGACGGAAAGUGGGAGUGACCAGAGGUAAAUGUGAGUGGUUUCUUUGUCCCGUGUAGCGGCAACCUGAGACCUGCGUAGCAUCUAGUAUAGCGGGGGGUUGCCAGCCUUUUGGGGUUUGUGGGGCACGUUUCUAAACCAGAGAAACUGCCAUAGGAGCCACACAUACCACAACCAAACAUACAGUGCAACUGAUUCUGUUGGCUAUAAUAGAAUGCUUCUUUCAGUUCCUCAUUUCAGCAGAGGGAAGGGGAGGAGAGACCCCUGCAGGCGCAAGGGAAGGUCUCUGUGGGCGUGAGAUCCCCAUAGUACAGUCUAAUCCAAUUAAGCCUGCCAUCUCCUCCUCCGCUCUUAUCUCAAGACUCUGACUAAAUGCAGACUUUGUGGCCUUGGUAUCAAGACAGUUUCCUCUCCUUUCACCAUUUUGUUCGCCAUUGUUUCUGAUGAAGCGUUUGGUGAAUUCAAAAGCCUGGUCGCUUCUUUUGUGACGUUUUGGCUGGUCCUAAUAAAAAAAAUAAAUGCCCAGCUAUGGGUUUUGAAAUUAUAAUGCAUGAAAACCAAAACUGCGGAGCGGAGCUUUGAAAUGAAAUUGUGCUUAUGAUCUUUUUCGGCGGUGACCUAGAAAUAAUUUCUCCUGACUUGCGGAGAUGAAAUGUUAUGGACAUCUUGUCCUUGUGAGUGGCAGGGCUGCAACUGCUAAAAUUCCCAGGCCUCUGA